rnacentral:tRNA from 1 species
CCACCGUUGUUAUUCAACUAUGAGAACCCUCUA